GACAGCUCUGGUAAUAUAUAAAUUCAGCCCGGACCUCUGAAGUUCAGCUUCGAACCCUAAAUUUAAGACACAACAAGGGGUUCAUCCGCAGUCCCUAAAAUUUGGAUUUUGUGGAUGGCAGCAUCUUACCUUUUCCCGUUAACGUGCAGUUGGGGUUGCUCACAUCUCGCACAGCCCACGUGUCUGAACAUUUAGAGUUACAGCGCUGCACAUUACAUGCUUGAAGAAUUUCUCGAAUGAGAUUCAAGAUGCAUGCCAUGUUGAAACCUGCGUGGAAACGCUUUUGGCUUCAAAAUAUGAGAACCCAUAAUUUGCAAAUACUUCCAUUUUCUCAUUAUUCCACAUUGCAGUCAAUGUCUGUCCAUCCCCAGUUGCAAGAGCUUUGCAGCAUUGUCAUGAGCACUGUUGGUGGGCUAGAUGAGCUGGAGUUGAGUCUAAAUAAGUUCAAAGAUUCUUUAACUUCAUCUCUUGUAGCUCAGGCUAUUGAUUCUAGUAAGCAUGAGGCACAAACUAGAAGAUUGCUCAGGUUCUUCUUAUGGUCUUGUAAGAAUUUGAGUCAUCGUUUGGAAGACAAGGAUUAUAAUCAUGCUCUUCGAGUUUUUGCUGAAAAGAAAGACUACACGGCAAUGGAUAUUUUGAUGGGAGAUCUCAAGAAGGAGGGUCGAGCCAUGGAUGCUGAGACUUUUAGUCUUGUAGCAGAGAAUUUGGUUAAACUAGGAAAAGAAGAUGAGGCAUUGGGUAUUUUCAAGAACUUAGACAAGUAUAAGUGUUCUAUAGAUGAAUUUACAGUUACUGCUAUCGUUAAUGCCCUUUGCUCCAAAGGGCAUGGUAAGAGGGCUGAAGGGGUAGUUUGGCAUCACAACGACAAGAUUACAGGCACAAAACCUUGCAUAUAUAGAAGUCUUCUUUAUGGGUGGUCUGUGCAGAGGAAUGUGAAGGAAGCUAGGAGAAUUAUUAAAGAGAUGAAAUCAAAUGGGGUUAACCCAGAUUUGUUAUGCUACAACACAUUCCUCAGGUGCCUUUGUGAACGGAAUCUAAGACAUAAUCCUUCAGGACUUGUGCCUGAAGCUUUAAAUGUCAUGAUGGAGAUGAAGUCACAUAAUGUUUUCCCAACCUCAAUCAGUUACAACAUACUGCUUUCUUGUCUAGGGAAGACCAGAAGAGUUAAGGAAUCUUGUCAAAUACUUGAAACAAUGAAAAUUUCUGGUUGUGAUCCUGAUUGGGUCAGCUAUUAUCUUGUGGCAAAGGUGUUGUUUCUGAGUGGCAGGUUUGGUAAAGGGAAAGAGAUGGUGGAUCAAAUGAUUGGAAAAGGUUUGGUGCCAAACCAUAAGUUUUACUACAGUUUGAUUGGUAUUCUCUGUGGGGUUGAAAGGGUAAAUUAUGCUCUUGAACUGUUUGAGAAAAUGAAGAAAAGCUCAAUGGGAGGUUAUGGACCAGUAUAUGAUGUGCUCAUUCCAAAGCUUUGUAGAGGAGGGGAUUUUGAAAAGGGAAGAGAGCUUUGGGAUGAAGCCUCAGGUAUGGGCAUCACUCUUCAGUGCUCAGAGGAUGUUUUAGAUCCUUCAAUAACAGAAGUUUACAAACCUACAAGGCCAGAAAAAAGCAGCCAUGUGGACAGCUCAAGAGCCAAGUCUCCACAAAAACUUACAAAGUUUUCAGGGAAAAUGAAGAUGAGAAAAAAAACAGCUGCAAUGAAGAAGAAAAAGAAGUAAAAAAGUCUACUGCAACUUAAUUAUGGCAAAGCAGAUUAGUUAUAUUUCACAAUAUGAAGCAUAAACACAGACAAGAGUCACAACUCAUGGCACCACAUGAUCACUGACGAAGUCCAAAUUAAAAAGACACGAGAUGCAUAUUUAUCCAAAGCAGAUUAUAUAGAUACGAUGUGUUAUUUAUUCAAAACAGAUUAUUGUUUCAGUUUCUGUUCGCUGAAUUACUUCAAGUUUGUCUUCGAAUCUCCUUGUGCAUUUACUAUUUUUGAAACUAUAUAUCCUCCAGGUAGGACAAUAGGACAGUGGCAGAGAGGCUGAUGACACAGUAAUGGAGUUUGAGAGAGAAGGAGGGAGCGCUGCAAGAUCAAGAAGAUCUUGAAACCCCUCACAUGGGCCUUGACAAGCACAUGUAACUGAAGGCGCAAUAUGGGGAUAUUGUGGGCCCCCCUCUGCCUCACUCACGUUCCCGGUUGCAACUCUCCAAUCUAACUUUCCACACUAUGCAAGUGGAUUCCACGCGGUUCCUAUUCAUCUAUUCUAUGUUAUGUUAUGUAAUGUGGUUCCUUCUUCCUAGAAGAUGCGGACACUAACUAACAAGUGCAGUGCGUAACAGAGCAUAGACAACCAUGGGUCCAAUGCCAGAACGCCCAAAGCAAAGCUAGCUGGAUUAGACUCCAUCUACAUCUAUAGCAUAAGCAUACCAUACAUAAAAAAAGAGUAUAAAAAAAAGAUGCAUUUUAAUUAAAUUUUAGGGAUAAACAUGUUUUUAAUUCUUAACAAUAGAAUAAAGUUUGUUUUUAAUUCCUGAAAAUUAAUUUUUUUAUUCCUCUUUUAUAAAAAUGUGAAUUGUCAAUUAUUGGUCUCUUAUUCACAUAUAAUGUAUUUCCAUAAAUGAUAAAAAAAAAGACGAUUCGUUUUGUAUGAAAUAAAAGUAAAUACUCUCCAUUAUCCUGUUUAGUAUAUUUUUUAAAACUGGAUUAAAAAGAGGGGAAUCGUAAACUUAUUUUUCAUGUAUGUAUAUUUUUGUCUGUUAUAGCAUAUUACAACACUGA